rnacentral:miRNA from 1 species
AUCCGUCCAUGCCAUUGGAAAUUUAUGUUCCAAUUACUUUUUUAACUUUGCGUGGACUCGUCCAUGCCAUUGAUGGCAUGGACGCGUCCACGCCAAAUUAAAAAGUAAUUGGAACAUAAAUUUCCAAUGGCAUGGACGGAUAAACAAAU